CCGACAAACCAUAAUACAUAUAUUACAAAGUAACAAAUAUUACUACGUAGCUUCAGUUUGAAUAAACCGUUAUUAUGAACUAUCACUGUAAAUAGGCAGUCAAUAAAUGCAACCAACACCAAUGCAGCUUUUGGUUGUAUGAACAUUGUAAACAUGCAACAAGUAAAACUUGAAAUUGAUUGAAUAUCCAAGACAUAAUACCUCUUGAAUAGUCUCAUUGAUAGAAACCGAGUCUUUGAAGCAUAGAUCAAGAUUUUCCAGUGAAGUGGGUUCAAAAUUAUCAUCACUUGACUUGUUUAUAUUCCUGAGGAUGAACAUUCAUUCGAACUAGAAUCGUUAUUUGGCUGGUUUUCUUCGCCUAGUACUGAAAGAACCUCAUUUAUUGCAAGAAAACCUCUUUUGGAAGCCAUGUUGCAAUUAAAUGAUAUUUGUUCAUGCGUCAUGCAAUAUUGAACUGAAAACUGAUUGUACAGGUUUGUGCCUGCAUGUGAUAAUCGGCCAUAGUAUACUUUUUCGUGAUUUAUUAAGGCCUGUUUUAAUUAGACGUCGAAUUUCCGUCGAAU